CCGGCCAUCCUCGGCAUCCUGGACGUCCUCGUUCAGGCUCCCCAAACCCAGCUCGAGCCUUGACUCUCUCUCUCCCUCGCUUAGUUUCUUCUUCCUCCAUUCCACCAUGGAUAGAGCUUGAGCAGCUCGUGUUCAUCGACCAAAUCCGCGAGCCCCUCCAUGGAUUCCAAAUCCACUACGCCCGAAGCUUUCUUGCCUUCCUAGCUUUCUCCCCAUCCCCUCCCAUCACAGCCCCGACCCUCACCUCGCCGGGAAUCGAGGAUUCCCCGGCCGCUGGUCUUCUUCGUGCCUGAGAUCCACCUCGCCGUCGAACUCUCAUCUCCGGCCACCGUUUUCGUCGCCCAACAGAUCAAAUCGAUUCCCGUAGCCGAGGAAGUCAUGUUCGAGGUAAUCGCGGAGCCAAGGAGCAGUCCGGGCAAGCCCAGUAGGAGAUUCGCGAGAACUCGACCCAAGGCCCAGUUGAGCCUAGCACUGAGCAACAGCCCGAAGGCAAGCCCCGGCCACGCAGAUGUAGAUUUCUGCCCUUGCUGCGCCAAGUUCAUCCUCCAUAACGCGGAAGGUUGGGAGGUUGCUGGCCCAGAUGUUUAGAUGGACUUCUGAUUACACACCUUUGGGAAAAGUGUGUAAUCUUUUAUCGUAGCUGUCGGAUUAUAUGUUUAUCCAACUUUUGUAAAAUGGCAUGUAAAUUAUCUUUGUAUUUGAACUCGGUUUGUAAACCUUAAUAUUUCGCACUA